rnacentral:rRNA from 1 species
GUGAAGCGGCAAUAGCUCAAAUUUGAAAGCUGGCCCCUUCGGGGUCCGCGUUGUAAUUUGUAGAGGAUGAUUCGGCGAGGGCUCCCGUCUAAGUCCCCUGGAACGGGGCGUCAUAGAGGGUGAGAAUCCCGUAUGUGAUGGGCUGCCUUAGCCAUGUGAAUCUCCUUCGACGAGUCGAGUUGUUUGGGAAUGCAGCUCUAAAUGGGAGGUAAAUUUCUUCUAAAGCUAAAUACCGGCCAGAGACCGAUAGCGCACAAGUAGAGUGAUCGAAAGAUGAAAAGCACUUUGGAAAGAGAGUUAAAAAGUACGUGAAAUUGUUGAAAGGGAAGCGCUUGCAGCCAGACUUGUCCGCAGUUGCUCAGCCGGUCUCCUGACCGGCGUACUCUUCUGCGGCCAGGCCAGCAUCAGUUCGGGCGGUCGGAUAAAGACCUCGGGAAUGUGGCUCCUCUCGGGGAGUGUUAUAGCCCGGGGUGGAAUGCGGCCAGCCUGGACUGAGGAUCUCGCUUCGGCUAGGAUGCUGGCGUAAUGGCUGUAAGCGGCCCGUCUUGAAACACGGACCAAGGAGUCUAACAUCUAUGCGAGUGUUUGGGUGUCAAACCCAUACGCGUAAUGAAAGUGAACGGAGGUGGGAACCCUCAGGUGCACCAUCGACCGAUCCUGAUGUCUUCGGAUGGAUUUGAGUAAGAGCAUAGCUGUUGGGACCCGAAAGAUGGUGAACUAUGCCUGAAUAGGGUGAAGCCAGAGGAAACUCUGGUGGAGGCUCGCAGCGGUUCUGACGUGCAAAUCGAUCG